AGGAAGGUAGUGUAGUUAACACCUGCAUUAUUUGACGUUACCUACAGAAGAAGCACCGGCUAACUCCGUGCCAGCAGCCGCGGUAAUACGGAGGGUGCGAGCGUUAAUCGGAAUUACUGGGCGUAAAGCGCAUGCAGGCGGCCUGUUAAGUCAGAUGUGAAAGCCCGGGGCUUAACCUCGGAAUUGCAUUUGAAACUGGCAGGCUAGAGUCUUGUAGAGGGGGGUAGGAAUUUCAGGUGUAGCGGUGAAAUGCGUAGAGAUCUGAAGGAAUACCAGUGGCGAAGGCGGCCCCCUGGACAAAGACUGACGCUCAGAUGCGAAAGCGUGGGGAGCAAACAGGAUUAGAUACCCUGGUAG
rnacentral:rRNA from 1 species